AUGGCAGAUGCUGCUCUCCUUCUGGUCACAAAAAAAAUUGGAAAAGCGGUGGCAGCAGAAACACUUAGCUAUGCUAGACCAUUGCUUGAAAAGAAAUCUAGAUCUAUUAAAGCAGUGCCAGAUAAGAUGAUACUCAUAAAGAAUGAUCUUGAGCUUAUCCGAGCAUAUCUCAAGGAAGUUGACAGGAAAGGUUGCACGGAUCUAGUCACUGAAACAUGGAUAGGGCAAGCCCGAAAAUUGGCUUAUGAUAUGGAAGACAUUGUGGAUCAGUUUACUUAUGUGGUUGGUAAACACCAUCUAGAUGGAGCAUGGUGGAGUUUUUUCACUAAAUGUCAGGACCCAUUUACACUUGAUGAAAUCGCUGCUGCAGUUAGGAGAAUAAAUAGGGAACUGAAACGGCUUAAAGAAUGCAGAGACUGGACUCAACCAGUUGCUGGAGGGAGUGAUGUUCCUGCAAAAGAUUAUGCCACCCAACAACAAAUGUAUCUUCCUGGACAUGGUUACUCAAUUUCUGAUGAAGAACUUAUAGGACUUGAUAGAAAUAGAGAAAUCUUGGUGAGGUUAAUGAAUUUGAAUAAAUGUUCUCAUCUGCAGAUCAUUGCUGUGUGUGGUAUGGGUGGAAUUGGGAAAAGCACUCUUGUCAACAAUGUGUUCAGAAAGGAAGCAUCCAAAUUUGAAUGCCAUGCAUGGGUUUCUGUCUCUCAGUCAUACAAUAUAUAUGAUAUUUGGAGAAGCAUGCUAAAAGAAAUAUAUUCUAAAGAGAAGAAAGAAUUUGAUGCUGAAAACAUGACCGGUGCAGAGUUGCAAAUGGAAUUGAAGAAAAUCCUAGAGACAAAGAGAUACUUGAUAAUAUUGGAUGAUGUCUGGACAGCUGAAGUUUUUAGAGAACUUAAAGAGGUUCUUGUUGAUACAGGGAUGGGAAGCAGAGUAGUAAUCACAACAAGAAUUGAGGAAGUAGCUUCAGUAGCUGAUGAUAGCUACAAGAUCAAAGUUGAGCCUCUUGAGGAGGAGGAGGCAUGGCGUUUGUUUCGCCGGAAGGCAUUUCCAAGAACUGAAAAUCACAUUUGCCCAUUAGUGUUAGAAGAGUGUGGUAAAUCGAUAGUGGAGAAGUGUGAUGGUUUACCAUUAGCUCUUGUGGCCAUAGGGAGCACAUUGUCUCAUAAGGCGCAAGAUGUUGCAGAGUGGAGGCGAUUUUAUAAUCAGCUUAUCUGGGAGCUACACAACAAUGGCGACCUGAAUCGUGUGGUGAAAAUUCUGAAUCUAAGCUACAAAUACUUGCCAGACCAUCUGAAGAGUUGUUUCUUGUAUUGUGCCAUGUUCCCAGAAGACCACAUGAUUCAUAGAAAAAGAUUGAUUAGAUUGUGGGUCGCCGAAGGAUUUAUUGAACAAAUUGGAGCAUGCAGUUUAGAAGAUGUUGCUGAAGGUUUCCUGACAGAGCUCGUUCGACGAAGCAUGCUUCAUGUGGUAGAGAGGAACAGUUUUAACAGGAUCAAGUGUGUUCGAAUGCACGAUCUUGUGCGUGAAUUAGCCAUUUUCCAAUCCAGGAGAGAGAGUUUCGGUACGACUUAUGAUGAUAGUCAUGGGGUGAUGCAGGUGGAGUCGGAUUCUCGUCGCAUGUCAGUGCUCCAAUGCAAAAAUGACAUUCAACCAAGCACAGGUCAAUGCAGGCUUCGUACCUUCAUAGCAUUCAGCAGUAACAUGGCAUCGUCUUCAUUGUUUCCAUCAGAAUCUAAGUACCUUGCUGUGUUGGAGCUAGCAGGAUUACCUAUUGAGACAAUUCCAAAUUCAGCUGGGGACUUAUUCAACCUUAGGUAUUUGGGCCUUGACAAAACCAAUGUGAAGGUACUCCCAAAUUCUGUUGUGAAGCUUCACAACUUAGAAACAUUGAGUCUUCAAGAUACAGAAUGUCUGCAUCUCCCUCGAGGGUCUGAAAAGCUGAAGAAAUUGCGGCACAUUUGGAUGUAUAAAUUGCUAGAUAGUACAUUCUCUAUUUUCAGAAGUAUUGGACCUAUGGAACCUUUUGAGGGAUUGUGGAGUUUGAAGAACUUGCAAACUCUGAAGCCAGUUUGUGCUAGUGAAGUUUCCGUCACAAAACUAGCAAAUUUAUCUCAGUUAAGGACCCUUAGCAUUAUUGGGGUAAGGAGCAUCCACUGUGCACAACUCUGUGCAUCGUUAUCAAUGAUGCACCAGCUCUCACUAUUAGAAAUAAAAGCCAGCAAUGAAGAUGAUGUGCUCCAGCUUGAAACAUUAACAUUGUCAAACCGCCUUAAAAAGCUCUUUUUAUCAGGGCGCUUUUCCGAAGGAACAUUGGAAUCUCCAUUUUUCUCAACCAACGGAGAUGCCCUUCACAAGAUAUCUCUACGUUGGUCCCAGCUUGCGGUGAACCCAUUACAGCGCCUCUCUGAAUUUUCAAAUUUGACCGAAAUAUGUCUUGCAAGGGCGUAUACUGGACAGGAGCUAACUUUUGAUGCAGAGGGGUUCCCAAAUGUGAAGAUUAUUCAGUUGUAUGAUAUGCCAGAUGUGAACCAAAUAUGCAUACACGAGGGAGCUUUGGUUCGCCUUGAAGAACUUUUGAUCAGAAACCUUGCCGAACUGCGGGACAUCCCUGGGCUGGGACAUCUGAAAUCCCUCAAAGAGGCAUGGUUUUAUGAUAUGCAUCCUUGUUUCAUAAGUAAUCUUGAAGCGGCCAGACUAGAUCAUAUCCCGAUAACCUUCUACAGGACAAUACGCUCUGGAGUGGCAUGA
rnacentral:rRNA from 1 species